UACAGAGGGUGCGAGCGUUGUUCGGAAUUACUGGGCGUAAAGCGUGCGCAGGCGGCUUCUCAAGUCAGGGGUGAAAGCCCAGAGCUCAACUCUGGAAUUGCCUUUGAGACUGAGUGGCUUGAGUACGGGAGAGGUGAGUGGAAUUCCCAGUGUAGAGGUGAAAUUCGUAGAUAUUGGGAAGAACACCGGUGGCGAAGGCGGCUCACUGGCCCGUAACUGACGCUCAUGCACGACAGCGUGGGGAUCAAACAGG
rnacentral:rRNA from 1 species